AGCCUUCAGUGAUAAUUGAAGGAGGGGAAACUGUUGAAAAUUCGAAUGGAGGAUACACCAUGGAAUCAUUUUCAGCACUACCAUCUACCUCAAUUCUGGAAUGGGCAAGACUUCUGGGAGUAAUAUCUUUCCCAGACAAAACAUCCCCAUUAGCUGAAGAUUGAGAUCCCAGUCUUUGCCUUCGUUUGGCCAACCAAUGGGCCAAUAGACCUUUAAGGGUUUCACGAGCUAGAUUAACCUUAUCAUCUUCAGGUUUUCCAGCUAUGUUAAGAUCUGCAGAAUACAUCUCUGCAGAAAAGCACUGUGGUGUGUCCAAAUGAACAGACAAGCUUCCAAGCCUUGAAUCUACAGUGAACCACCCAGGAAUGCUUACCAUUUCAAAUAACUUUUCCUUUUUCUCCUCAAAU
rnacentral:misc_RNA from 1 species